CUUCAGACCCAACCAGACCCUCCUGAAGAAAGGAGGGGCUGAGCCGCUCACAUCCCUUUCUCUAUUCAAUUACCAUUAAAGUUAAUUUACCACCUGGUGAUGUCCCCAGUCAGGCCAAAACUCCAUCCCAUCAAAACAGUUACCUUGUACCCCUGCACAUCGACUCGGUACUGGUACCCCAUGUAUAUCGGUAGGUAUUGAGUAUUUAUUAUUA